AAUUCUCAACCUUGAAAGGCUUGUCUUUUCAAUGGCUUGGAUGUGAGGGUUUUGCUGGCUUCCUUCAGUGGAUGGUCUGCUCCCUUUAAAUGCAUUAGUGGGAUCCUUUGUGGACGGUCACUUGGUGUGAUAAUUAUCUACGCCGUUUGUACUGUGAAGCAAAACUUGUGGGAACCUGCUUAUAACCGUCUGUAAUGGACAAUUUUGAAACU
rnacentral:misc_RNA from 1 species